rnacentral:rRNA from 1 species
UACGUAGGGGGCGAGCGUUGUCCGGAAUCAUUGGGCGUAAAGCGCGUGUAGGCGGCCCGGUAAGUCCGCUGUGAAAGUCCAGGGCUCAACCCUGGGAUGCCGGUGGAUACUGUCGGGCUAGAGUCCGGAAGAGGAGUGUGGAAUUCCUGGUGUAGCGGUGAAAUGCGCAGAUAUCAGGAGGAACACCAAUGGCGAAGGCAGCACUCUGGGACGUGACUGACGCUGAGACGCGAAAGCGUGGGGAGCAAGCAGG